CUCUGUGGGUGUGGGGACAGCGGCCGGCAGGGUCCCUCCCCUCAGGGACCUGACUCCUGUGGGCACUGUGGGGUGGGCAGCCCCACAGCAGGGUGAAGUUGGCAAAGCCUCUUGUGGAGUAGGGGCUGUGGCUGGAGCCGAGACCUCACCGCACUGCUGUCCCUCUAAGCUGGCCUGCUGGGCUGGGGUGACACUGGCCGCUGCCCCGUCCAGUGAGGAGCGACCUUGAGGAGAGGGGAGGGACCCAGACAUGGAGCUGCGGGAAGAGGCCUGGUCUCUGGGGCCGCUGGACUCCGAGGACCAGCAGAUGGCCAGUCAGGAAAACCCAGGUAGACAGUGACCUUGGAGGCGCCUGGGCGGCGUUGUGGGAAGAUGUUUCCGCGGGAGCGCCUUCUGGCGUCUGCUGGGCCAGUGCACAUGCCCAUCCUGGCUCGGCUGCCUGCUGGCCGUGCAGCCCGGGCCAAGUCGGCUUCCUGGUGUGGCCUUCGCCCUAGAGAGACGGAGCUGCAGCACCUCACGGGGUGUGACACACGACGCUCGCUUGGUCCCGCCCUUGCAAG
rnacentral:lncRNA from 1 species